ACUCAAAGGAAUAGACGGGGGCCCGCACAAGCAGUGGAGUAUGUGGAUUAAUUCGACGCAACGCGAAGAACCUUACCAAGGUUUGACAUCCAAAGAACCCGGUAGAAAUACCGGGGUGCCUUUCGGGGAACUUUGAGACAGGUGGUGCAUGGUUGUCGUCAGCUCGUGUCGUGAGAUGUUGGGUUAAGUCCCGCAACGAGCGCAACCCUUACGGUUAGUUGCUACGCAAGAGCACUCUAGCCGGACUGCCGUUGACAAAACGGAGGAAGGUGGGGACGACGUCAAAUCAUCAUGCCCCUUAUAUCUUGGGCUUCACACGUACUACAAUGGCGGUAAACAGCGCGCUGCGACCCUGCGAAGGGGAGCGAAUCGCUUAAAAGCCGCCUCAGUUCGGAUCGCAGGCUGCAACUCGCCUGCGUGAAGUCGGAAUUGCUAGUAAUCGCGGAUCAGCAUGCCGCGGUGAAUACGUUCCCGGGCCUUGUACACACCGCCCGU
rnacentral:rRNA from 1 species